rnacentral:tRNA from 1 species
GACUCUGUGGCGAAAUUGGAUAUCGCGUGGGACUUCUAAUCCCGAGAUUGCGGGUUCAAACCCCGCCAGAGCCG